UACGUAGGGUGCAAGCGUUGUCCGGAAUUAUUGGGCGUAAAGAGCUCGUAGGCGGUUUGUCGCGUCUGCUGUGAAAACUCGGGGCUUAACCCCGGGCCUGCAGUGGGUACGGGCAGACUAGAGUGCGGUAGGGGAGACUGGAAUUCCUGGUGUAGCGGUGAAAUGCGCAGAUAUCAGGAGGAACACCGGUGGCGAAGGCGGCAUCCUGGACCAAUAUUGACGCUGAGGAGCGAAAGCCAGGGGAGCAAACGGG
rnacentral:rRNA from 1 species